rnacentral:rRNA from 1 species
UGGGGAAUAUUGGACAAUGGGGGCAACCCUGAUCCAGCAAUGCCGCGUGUGUGAAGAAGGUUUUCGGAUUGUAAAGCACUUUCGGCGGGGACGAUGAUGACGGUACCCGCAGAAGAAGCCCCGGCUAACUUCGUGCCAGCAGCCGCGGUAAUACGAAGGGGGCUAGCGUUGCUCGGAAUGACUGGGCGUAAAGGGCGUGUAGGCGGUUUGUACAGUCAGAUGUGAAAUCCCCGGGCUUAACCUGGGAGCUGCAUUUGAGACGUGCAGACUAGAGUGUGAGAGAGGGUUGUGGAAUUCCCAGUGUAGAGGUGAAAUUCGUAGAUAUUGGGAAGAACACCGGUGGCGAAGGCGGCAACCUGGCUCAUUACUGACGCUGAGGCGCGAAAGCGUGGGGAGCAAACAGGAUUAGAUACCCUGGUAGUCCACGCUGUAAAUGAUGUGUGCUGGAUGUUGGGUAACUUAGUUAUUCAGUGUCGUAGCUAACGCGAUAAGCACACCGCCUGGGGAGUACGGCCGCAAGGUUGAAAC